UACGAAGGGUGCAAGCGUUACUCGGAAUUACUGGGCGUAAAGCGUGCGUAGGUGGUUUGUUAAGUCUGAUGUGAAAGCCCCGGGCUCAACCUGGGAAUUGCAUUGGAUACUGGCAGUCUAGAGUGCGGUAGAGGGGUGCGGAAUUCCCGGUGUAGCAGUGAAAUGCGUAGAUAUCGGGAGGAACAUCCGUGGCGAAGGCGGCACCCUGGGCCAGCACUGACACUGAGGCACGAAAGCGUGGGGAGCAAACAGG
rnacentral:rRNA from 1 species